CGUCAGGUAGCUCAGUGGUUUAGAGCAGUUCCCUGGCAAGCGAAAGACCCGGGUUCGAUUCCCGGUCUAGCGA
rnacentral:tRNA from 1 species